UCGGAUUAAUUUAAUUAAACAUGAGCAAUGUGGUUUUUAAGGUCAAUUCCGCUGUUAUUGGUUAUUACAGUUACUUAUAAAACCAAUAUGGCUACAAAUGUUUGUAAGGUUCAACAUUGUCAUAAAAUCAGGCCUCAAGUCCAACCUUAUCAUUCUAGCAUAUACCGUCAAAGCUUCACCUUCUCUUCCAUGUUUAGCAAGAGCAUAAUCACUGAAGCCCAAAUGUGUGAAUUCAUCUUCGUAAUUGAUGUUAAGAAAAAAACUUUUAUCAAGUACUCAAGGAAGACACAAUUAGAGUAACCCCAAAUUAGAUUGUUUCUUACACACAUGUAGUAAUCUCAUGCUUUUUUGAUAUCAGAAUCAACCGUCUUCAAACUUCUAAUUUNUUUUUUUUUUUUUUUUUUUUUUUUUUUUUUUUUUUUUUUGUACAAGUGAUGAUGACAGUGUGGCGAGUAUGAGCAAAAGAAGAAGACAUGAAAGAGUUGUGGGGGUUUCGGAUUAAUUUAAUUAAACAUGAGCAAUGUGGUUUUUAAGGUCAAUUCCGCUGUUAUUGGUUAUUACAGUUACUUAUAAAACCAAUAUGGCUACAAAUGUUUGUAAGGUUCAACAUUGUCAUAAAAUCAGGCCUCAAGUCCAACCUUAUCAUUCUAGCAUAUACCGUCAAAGCUUCACCUUCUCUUCCAUGUUUAGCAAGAGCAUAAUCACUGAAGCCCAAAUGUGUGAAUUCAUCUUCGUAAUUGAUGUUAAGAAAAAAACUUUUAUCAAGUACUCAAGGAAGACACAAUUAGAGUAACCCCAAAUUAGAUUGUUUCUUACACACAUGUAGUAAUCUCAUGCUUUUUUGAUAUCAGAAUCAACCGUCUUCAAACUUCUAAUUUUACUAUUAGAGAAAUUUUUUAUAAUUGUGGUUAGUGUUUGCUCGUUGGGACAGAGAUCUCUUAGUCCUGACAAACGCAAGCUAAUCACAAUAUGAAAAUUUUCCUCGAUGAUGCAAUUAAAUGUUUUCAAGAUGGUUCAUUCUUAUGUUAUCAAAUAAUCAAAGUACGAGAUUACUACAUCUUUAUGAGAAACAAUCUAAUUAAGGGUUAUUCUAAUUGUAUCUCUUUUGAGUACGCGAUAAAAGAUUUUCAUAACAUCAAGAUUAGGAAGAUAAAUUCGUAUAGUUGGAAUUCACUGAUCAAUGCUUUUUGCUAAACAUGGAAGAGGAGCUAAAGCUUUGGCAGUAUUUGAUAGAAUAAUAAGUUUGGAUUUGAAGAACAAUUAUGUGACAAUGUUUAAUGUUAUAAGCGCGUGUAGCCAUGUUAACUUUAUAAGCCAAGACAUACAAAUUUUCAUUAUACCGACCAUGGAGUUGGCCCCAAGUAAUCAAACUUUGUUCAUAUUUAGUUGACUUAAUCACAAGACCCGACUACUUGGUGGAAGCUAAGUUAUUGAUCCCAAGUUAGCGAGGAAGACUGUCGGUAAGGACUCAUUAAAUAUAAUUUUCGCUAGGAAGAGUUUCCAACAAAAAAAAUUGAAAUGAGGGUAGAAGGACUAGAAACAAUGGUGCUUUAGGAACCACAAUUGGCCAAAUUUGAUAAUAGACAGGUACAUAUAAGUAGCUUCUUUGUUAUCUCCUUUUAUUUUCAACGUAUUUGAAAAUGUCCCCCCUUUUUAACCACUUGUAGCUGUGUUCCUGGCAUUAUUGUCAAUAGCGAUCAUAGCGAUAGCUAUAGCGAAUAAUGAGGCGAGGCGAUGCAAUGUUGCAAUG
rnacentral:lncRNA from 1 species